rnacentral:lncRNA from 1 species
UCAAACUCUUCUAAUAUUCAGUAACCACUAUCCCCCCUCAACACACAAUCCUUCUUUACACUCGAAACCAACUCAAGCUCGAAAAUCAUACAAGAAGUACAUAAAAAGAAAAGAAAGAAACAAAAAAAAAAACCUACUUGACUUUGAAAUGAAAGAGCAAAUCCUCAUUCGUCAAACACUAGAACCACAUAUAUCAACCAUCUCCAAUGUUGGAAAUCUAGCCCCAUCAAACUUUUCUACUAUUCAGCCCAUCCCCCCUCAACCCACAACCCUUCUUUACACUCGAAACCAACUCAAGCUCGACAAUCAUACAAGAAGGGCAUACAAAGAAAAGAAAGAAACCAAAUAAUAAUAAAAAAGAAUCCUUUAUUCCUUUAUUCGUAAAAAGAUAAAAGAUUAUAAGUCUCAACUUUUGUGUAGAAACAAUCAAGAAAAGAAGAAGC